UACGUAGGGGGCAAGCGUUGUCCGGAUUUAUUGGGCGUAAAGAGCGUGUAGGCGGCCUGAAAGGUCAGCUGUGAAAACUCGAGGCUCAACCUCGAGACGUCGGUUGAAACCAUCUGGCUAGAGUCCGGAAGAGGAGUGUGGAAUUCCCGGUGUAGCGGCGAAAUGCGCAGAUAUCGGGAAGAACACCCGUGGCGAAGGCGGCACUCUGGGACGGUACUGACGCUGAGACGCGAAAGCGUGGGGAGCGAACAGG
rnacentral:rRNA from 1 species